CGGGCAGCUUGGGUGAGAGGGGGGAAAUAUGGCUUCGGUGGUCCCGGCGGUGGUUGGGGCUGUGGGGCGGCAGUGGGGUGGGGGGCGAAUUCCCAACAUGUGGGGCACGGGGAGCCGAGGGGCAUUGGGAUUGUGGGGAUGGGUCAUUGGGGAGGUGGUUGGCACAGCGUCACGGGGUGAUGUGUGGGGCUGGGGGUGUCCUGGGGGUACAGAGAUGGCCUUGGAGGGGUGCAGGGAUGGUGUUGUGGGUUAUAGGGUUGGUCCCAAGGGGUGGUCCCAUGGGAUACGGGGAUGGUUCCAAAGGGAUUCAAGGAUGGGCCCGUGGGUUAUAGGGAUGGUCCCAUGGGAUAUGGGAUUGGUCCCAAAGUGAUGCAAGGAAGGGUCCAUGGGUUAUAGGGUUGGUCCCAAGGGAUGGUCCCAUGGGAUAUAGGGUUGAUCCUGGAGGGAUACAGGGAUGGUCCAAGGAGUUAUAGGGAUGGUCCCAUGGGAUAUAGGAUUGAUCCUGGAGGGAUACAGGGAUGGUCCAAGGAGUUAUAGGGAUAGUCCCAUGGGAUGCAGGGUUGGUCCCAAAGUGAUGCAAGGAUGGGCCAAUGGGUUACAGCAUCAGUCCCAAGGGAUGGUCCCAUGGGAUGUAGGGUUGGUCCCAUGGGUUGUACAGAUGGUCCCAAAGGGAUGCAAGGAUGGGCCUACGGGUUAUAGAGUUGAUCCCAAGGGGUGGUCCCAUGGGGUGUAGAGUUGGUGUUGAGGGAUGCAGGGAUGGACCUGUAGGUUGUAGGGGAUGGUCCAGGAAGGAUGUGGGUAUGAUGCCAUGUCUCGUGGGGAUUGUACUGAAGGAUGGUCCCAAAAGAUGUAAGGAUGGGCCUGUGGGCUUUAGGGAUGGUCCCAUGGGAUGCAACGAUGUUCCCAUGGGUCGUAGAGAUGAUCCCAAGGGAUGAUCCCAAGGGAUGCAGGAAUGGUCCUAUGGGAUGCUUCCAAGGGAGGUAGACGUGAUCCCAUGGGCUUAUAGGAACGGUCCCAUGGGAUGUAGGAAUAGUCCUAAAGGGAUGCAGGGGCCGUUCCAAGAGAUACGGAGGAGGGUCCCAAGGGAUGCAGGGAUGGUCCCAUGGGAUAUAGGGUUGAUCCCAUGGGAUGUGAGGAGGGUCUUGAAGGAUGCAGGGAUGCUCCCAAGGGAUGCAGAAAUAAUGCAAGGACGGGCCCAAGGGAUGCUGGAAUGGUCACAAGUGGUACAGAAACCAUCCCAGGGGGCAGGGAUGGUCCUGAGGGAUGCAGAGUUGGUCCCAAAGGAUGCAGGGACCGUCCUGAGGGAUGAGGGGAUGGUCAGGAGGGGUUCAGGGACAGUCCCAAGGAAUGCAGGGACGGUCCUGAGGGACGCAGGGGUGGAAUGCAGGGAUCAGGCUUUAAUCCUAAAGGGAAGACAACAGCAGGACGAGGCGAUGGGGAUGGAGAGCUCGCAGGACCCCACGAGGGACCCCAACCCCAUCACACCGUGCCUCAGUUUCCCCACCCCAUCCCUCCCUGAGCCCAUCUGCCCAUCUCCCAGCCCGGCUCAGGACGGGCAGAGUUAACGGCAGCGAUGUGAGCUCAGAGCUCUGCCCACCCUGAACUGCUGCCAGCUCAGAGCCGAGGCAACAACGGCCGCAUUGUGCGCCCGUGGCCCCGUGCAGCUGCGGGCAGGAAUGCCAUCCGGACAAGUGGACUUUGUAUCCUGGGGAGGGAUUUGUUGCAUAGGAAGAGCAGAAAUCAGAGCGUCCGCUUCUCUCCCACCUCCUGCCAUUGGGCCUUCCUCCUCCUCCUCCUCC
ensembl:lncRNA